ensembl:antisense
AGAUGGCAGUUGCAACUAGCACCUGGCACAUGGUCACUCACCGCACACAGUUUGGAACAACAGCACCAACGAUAGUGACAGCACCAGCAGCAGUGGUGGUGGUGGUGAUGACCAAGUCCUUGGCGCCUGCACUGGGAUCAUAGCCCCAGGUGGAAGAGACCAUGCCAGGAUUUGGCUGGAGCAGUUUUGAGGCACGGUUAAUUGAGCAGCUGAGGCUGGGUGGGGCAGGGCUCUCUUCAACCUAGCUUCUGGAAAGCAUCCAAAGCGUCCAAUACAUCCAAUUCAAGGGCAACUCUCUGAGAAGAGACACAGCCAUCUAUAAAACCUGCUCUGCCUGCUCUUCCACUUUCUGCAACCAACAAAAACACCAUCCACAAAAUGUAAAUAAGCAUAGGCCUUUUCUACAGCUGGUGAGACGUCUGAUCACAUUUUAAUGUCAGACUGCCCCAUGGUAAAGCUUACUCGUCAUCCUCAAACUGAUGAGCCUUUAUCAGUUGGUCUGCAGCACCAAGAGGAGAUCCUAUCCUUGCCUGAGAAGUAAAGAAGAAAAAGAGAUAAAAUCUUACCUCUGCAGGGUUCCUGUUCAGGCGCCCCUCAAUCCACGGGAGAAAUCAGGGUCCUGGUCAGAUGGGCAGGAGUCGGCAAGAAAUGACAAAUAAAUAGGGACACAAGGGAAUGUGCUGUAUCUGAAUGCAAUUUGUCAAAUUGAACACCAGACUUUUAAUACAGAAGAAAAUAGGGAAGUUAGGUGACACAUCAGCAAGGUACAAUGAGGUUACUGGAUGCUUAAUGACCCUUACACAAAACAGAGGAAUGCAAACAUAAAGACUGGCAGGAACUGGGCAAUAAAACAACUGAGACAAAGUCAGCUCUAUCUAAGGUCAGUCAUAUUCUUAGAAGCCAGGUGUAAGGUCUUUACACUCCUGGGGCAAGGGCUUUCAUGCCCAUGUCAUGGUUCUAAUUAGGAAGUUCUGCUCUAGCUAACCUUCUCAAAAAUAAUGCAAUAUACUAGUUUCUCCUCAAAUCACAGCCUGAUCUACUUCCUAAACCAUUGUAAAUUCCUGUAUAUGUGAUGCUUGGCUUUUAUUCUAAGUGAUUGUGUGGGGGGACUUUCUACUAAUAAGUAGUCUGACAUACAUAACUAUAGUAAGAAUUCUAAACUUGCUUUGCUAAGCUUGCCCUGAGAUUUAUAACUCUUAUGUAGUAGUUAAUGCCUGAUUUCUUUCACUAUCUCUCUUACAAUAUUAGAGGCAAUACUGAAUAACACUGAAUAGGCAACAUUCUUACUGAAUUCCAAGCCUAGGGUAGGUUCAAGGACUCUCUAGGGCAUGGGUGAAGGCCAGGAACCAAGGUUCAAUUUUGCUUAUGUAUUUGGCAAGCCAUUGCUUGGAGGCACCCAUCAUAAAACAAUACUGAAAGAAAGCACAAAGAUACAUUCGCAAGCACAAGUUUGGAGCAUUCAUUAUAUGGGAUGCCAUGGUUCCAGGAUACUAAGUUUUAUGAACUUUUUGCCUCAGGACUGUGUGCAGGUUUCUAGUCCUGUCAUGCAAGUCACUACUGAAGUGGGUAUAGCACUCCUGGAUUCUGCAUUUCUGAUUCUUUCAAGAUCUCUCAUGCUCACUUAUUUUUCCUACUUCCAUUUUGGAACCAGCUAUUUCAGAACCCUAAUUUCAUUCACUGAAGCUAAAGGCAUUUGGAAAUAAGAAUCUUAAGGUCCUCAUUUAACUGGAGUUUUCAAGGCAGAUCAUCCACAUAUAUAACUGUGGUGUUUGUGUGUAAUUAUUAAUUCCAUAUGCCAACUUGUACUCAGAAAGGGUUUCCCAGACGGCUGGUAAAACAUUAUCUCUGGGUGAGCCUUGGGAUCUCUCUAGACCAUAAGCAUUUGAAUCAGGAGGAUAAAUAAAGAUCAACCUCACAAUGUGGGCAGCUGCCAUUUAAUUCAUAGAGCACACACCCAAACAGGUUGAAAAGGUGGAGACUGGAUUCUUGCUCUCUUCUUACUUUGAGGCAUUCUUCCUCUUCUUUCCUUGAAAGUCAGACCUUCUGUUUGGACUUAAAAUGAUCCAAAGAGUUUUGACUAUAAUUAGGCUAUCAAUCAUUACAAUAACAGCAACAAAUCCUUGAGAGGGAAAAAUUAGGUAGCACAGUUAAAAGAAAUAUGAGCAACUUUAUGCAUACUGUUCAUUCACAAUGGUGAUACAUAGUAACCCCUAAGUCAACUUAAAGAGAAUGGAUUGCAUUAUUCAUGGUGUCCUUGUGCCAUGAGUUCAGCAAGACCAUGUUGUUAUCCAGCUUUUCACUGUUUUCAUUUAUCUUUAAAGACCCAUGGUGCUCAAUAAAAUUGUUGAGUUUCAGAAAGUG